UACAGAGGGUGCAAGCGUUGUUCGGAAUUACUGGGCGUAAAGGGCGCGUAGGCGGCCUUCUAAGUCGGACGUGAAAUCCCCGGGCUCAACCCGGGAACUGCGUCCGAUACUGGAAGGCUUGAAUCCGGGAGAGGGAUGCGGAAUUCCAGGUGUAGCGGUGAAAUGCGUAGAUAUCUGGAGGAACACCGGUGGCGAAGGCGGCAUCCUGGACCGGCAUUGACGCUGAGGCGCGAAAGCCAGGGGAGCAAACGGG
rnacentral:rRNA from 1 species